rnacentral:rRNA from 1 species
AUACGGAGGGUGCAAGCGUUGUUCGGAAUCACUGGGCGUAAAGGGCGCGCAGGCGGUUUGGUAAGUCAGAUGUGAAAGCCCACGGCUCAACCGUGGAAGUGCAUUUGAAACUGUCAGACUUGAGUACUAGAGGGGAAAGUGGAAUUCCCGGUGUAGAGGUGAAAUUCGUAGAUAUCGGGAGGAGUACCGGUGGCGAAGGCGACUUUCUGGCUAGAUACUGACGCUGAGGCGCGAAAGCGGGGGGAGCAAACAGGAUUAGAAACCCCGGUAGUCC